CUUUAUUGGAGAGUUUGAUCCUGGCUCAGGAUGAACGCUGGCGGCGUGCCUAAUACAUGCAAGUCGAGCGAAUGGAUUGAGAGCUUGCUCUCAAGAAGUUAGCGGCGGACGGGUGAGUAACACGUGGGUAACCUGCCCAUAAGACUGGGAUAACUCCGGGAAACCGGGGCUAAUACCGGAUAACAUUUUGAACCG
rnacentral:rRNA from 1 species